rnacentral:rRNA from 1 species
GAUGAACGCUGGCGGCGUGCUUAACACAUGCAAGUCGAACGGUGAAGCAGGAGCUUGCUCUUGUGGAUCAGUGGCGAACGGGUGAGUAACACGUGAGCAACCUGCCCCUGACUCUGGGAUAAGCGCUGGAAACGGCGUCUAAUACUGGAUAUGUGAUGUGACCGCAUGGUCUGCAUCUGGAAAGAAUUUCGGUUGGGGAUGGGCUCGCGGCCUAUCAGCUUGUUGGUGAGGUAAUGGCUCACCAAGGCGUCGACGGUUAGCCGGCCUGAGAGGGGGACCGGCCCACCUGGGACUGAGACACGGCCCAGACUCCUACGGGGGGCAGCAGUGGGGAAUAUUGCACAAUGGGCGGAAGCCUGAUGCAGCAGCGCCGCGUGAGGGAUGACGGCCUUCGGGUUGUAAACCUCUUUUAGCAGGGAAGAAGCGAAAGUGACGGUACCUGCAGAAAAAGCACCGGCUAACUACGUGCCAGCAGCCGCCGUAA